AGCACGCCGCGUGUAUGAAGAAGGCCUUCGGGUUGUAAAAUACUGUUUGUUAGGGAAGAACGGCUUGAGUGAAGAUAUUGCUUGAGAUUGACGGUACCUAACGAGGAAGCCCCGGCUAACUACGUGCC
rnacentral:rRNA from 1 species